rnacentral:rRNA from 1 species
UACAGAGGGUGCAAGCGUUAAUCGGAAUUACUGGGCGUAAAGCGUGCAUAGUCGGCUUUUCAAGUCGGGUGUGAAAGCCCCGGGCUCAACCUGGGAAUUGCAUUCGAUACUGGAUCGCUAGAGUUCGGCAGAGGGAAGUGGAAUUUCUGGUGUAGCGGUGAAAUGCGUAGAUAUCAGAAGGAACAUCAGUGGCGAAAGCGACUUCCUGGACCAGAACUGACGAUCAGGCACGAAAGCGUGGGGAGCAAACAGG